rnacentral:rRNA from 1 species
UAACGCGAAGAACCUUACCAAGGCUUGACAUAUACGAGAACGGGCCAGAAAUGGUCAACUCUUUGGACACUCGUAAACAGGUGGUGCAUGGUUGUCGUCAGCUCGUGUCGUGAGAUGUUGGGUUAAGUCCCGCAACGAGCGCAACCCUCGUUCUAUGUUGCCAGCACGUAAUGGUGGGAACUCAUGGGAUACUGCCGGGGUCAACUCGGAGGAAGGUGGGGAUGACGUCAAAUCAUCAUGCCCCUUAUGUCUUGGGCUUCACGCAUGCUACAAUGGCCGGUACAAAGGGCUGCAAUACCGCGAGGUGGAGCGAAUCCCAAAAAGCCGGUCCCAGUUCGGAUUGAGGUCUGCAACUCGACCUCAUGAAGUCGGAGUCGCUAGUAAUCGCAGAUCAGCAACGCUGCGGAAA